UUGUGUCAAAUUAAAACAUUUUCUUUUUAUAUAAAAUAACUUGAAAUAUGUGUCAGGGCUUUGGUGUCCAAAAAAUGCAUUUCAUAUUUUUGGUAAGGUUGCAUUAUACUUGCCAGCGAUCUCCAGGACUCCGCGUCAAAUACAUUAUAUAUUAAUAAACAUUAACUUCAGAUACCAGUCAACAAUCGCAGGCAGUUUGUGUCAAAUUAAAACAUUUUCUUUU